rnacentral:rRNA from 1 species
GACGUAGGGCGCGAGCGUUGUCCGGAUUUAUUGGGCGUAAAGAGCUCGUAGGCGGCUUGUCGCGUCGUCCGUGAAAAACCCCGGGGGCUCAACUCCGGGGCUUGCGGGGCGAUACGGGCAGGCUAGAGUUCGGUAGGGGGAGACUGGAAUUCCUGGUGUAGCGGUGAAAAUGCGCAGAUAUCAGGAGGAACACCGGUGGCGAAGGCGGGGUCUCUGGGGCCGAUACUGACGCUGAGGAGCGAAAGCGUGGGGAGCGAACAGG